UGAACAUCGUGAGAAAUUUCAGGAGCUCAAGAAGGAGAUUAACUUCUAUUGCAACCUGCACAGCCGGCUCCUGAUGGACCAGGCAUGUAUGAAGAAGAAGUUGGUCACAUUGAAGCAGGAGAGCAAGGAGUUACAGCGAUAUUUGUUUGAGUUGAACCUGAAUGCUGAAGACGAACAGGAGAAGACCAGCAACCUCCAGACCCAGCAAAAUGUGGUCUCAGGAACUGCAGGAGACAUGGAAUAGGACAGAUCCCAAGAAGACAGCCCCCUGAAGAGUGAGUUUCUCUGUCAGGAGUUCCCUGCUGACGACAAUCCUCAACAGUCAAAGACUUUUUUGGGGAGAAUAUUCUUCUUCUCAGUUAAUUUCCUCAUUGUAUAGAGACCCUAAAUUUAUGUAUCCGUAUGCCAGCCUGUCUCAUUGAGGUCUUUCUCCUCUCUCAUACCGACAACACCAUUUGAGAGACAAAUGAGGGGACUGCCUUGACAUCUCCCUAGAGGAGAAACAGCACUACAACUGUGUUUCUAAAUGUUCAUUAAGAAAAUGCUG
ensembl:lncRNA